GGAUUGGCUGACACAAGAAAAAGUGCUCAAGCAAUUAAAUACUGUUAAGGAAGAUCUAGACAGAGUUGGGGACUGGGCGUGCAAGUGGCAGAUGAGGUUCAAUAUAGAGAAAUGCAAAGUUAUGCAUUAUGGUAAAAAUAAUAAAAA